ACUGCAAGUCGAGCGCCCCGCAAGGGGAGCGGCACACGGGUGAGUAACGCGUGGGAAUCUACCCUUCUCUACGGAACAACUCCGGGAAACUGGAGCUAAUACCGUAUACGUCCUUCGGGAGAAAGAUUUAUCGGAGAUGGAUGAGCCCGCGUUGGAUUAGCUAGUUGGUGGGGUAAUGGCCUACCAAGGCGACGAUCCAUAGCUGGUCUGAGAGGAUGAUCAGCCACAUUGGGACUGAGACACGGCCCAAACUCCUACGGGAGGCAGCAGUGGGGAAUAUUGGACAAUGGGCGCAAGCCUGAUCCAGCCAUGCCGCGUGAGUGAUGAAGGCCCUAGGGUUGUAAAGCUCUUUCAACGGUGAAGAUAAUGACGGUAACCGUAGAAGAAGCCCCGGCUAACUUCGUGCCAGCAGCCGCGGUAAUACGAAGGGGGCUAGCGUUGUUCGGAAUUACUGGGCGUAAAGCGCACGUAGGCGGAUAUUUAAGUCAGGGGUGAAAUCCCGGGGCUCAACCCCGGAACUGCCUUUGAUACUGGGUAUCUCGAGUCCGAGAGAGGUGAGUGGAAUUCCGAGUGUA
rnacentral:rRNA from 1 species